CAUUAUGAAUGGUUAAGGUUUGGGAUAGAGUUAAAACAUUAAGUUUAGGGCCUCAUUAUGAAUGGUUAAGGUUUGGGAUAGAGUUUAAACAUUAAGUUUAGCCCCUCAUUAUGAAUGGUUAAGGUUUGGGAUAGAGUUUAAACAUUAAGUUUAGGGCCUCAUUAUGAAUGGUUAAGGUUUGGGAUAGAGUUUAAACAUUAAGUUUAGGGCCUCAUUAUGAAUGGUUAAGGUUUGGGAUAGAGUUUAAACAUUAAGUUUAGGGCCUCAUUAUGAAUGGUUAAGGUUUGUGAUAGAGUUUAAACAUUAAGUUUAGGGCCUCAUUAUGAAUGGUUAAGGUUUGGGAUAGAGUUUAAACAUUAAGUUUAGGGCCUCAUUAUGAAUGGUUAAGGUUUGGGAUAGAGUUUAAACAUUAAGUUUAGGGCCUCAUUAUGAAUGGUUAAGGUUUGGGAUAGAGUUUAAACAUUAAGUUUAGGGCCUCAUUAUGAAUGGUUAAGGUUUGUGAUAGAGUUUAAACAUUAAGUUUAGGGCCUCAUUAUGAAUGGUUAAG